rnacentral:rRNA from 1 species
UACAGAGGGGGCAAGCGUUGUUCGGAAUUACUGGGCGUAAAGGGCGCGUAGGCGGCCUCUUAAGUCGAACGUGAAAUCCCCGGGCUCAACCCGGGAACUGCGUCCGAUACUGGGGGGCUUGAAUCCGGGAGAGGGAUGUGGAAUUCCAGGUGUAGCGGUGAAAUGCGUAGAUAUCAGGAGGAACACCGAUGGCGAAGGCAGGUCUCUGGGCUGACACUGACGCUCAUGCACGAAAGCGUGGGGAGCAAACAGG